rnacentral:tRNA from 1 species
CCCGCCGUAGCUCAACGGUAGAGCGCCCGGCUGUAGACCGGGAGGUUGGUGGUUCAAAUCCGCCCGGCGGGA